rnacentral:lncRNA from 1 species
CUUUCGUAAGCGGCGGGCGAAGGUCACAGGCCUUGGGCCAGUGGUGGGACACUGGAGCAGGAAGUCGGCCUGUGGCCGGCCAUGUUCAUGAGGGCGCGUCCCUUGGCACCCCUGUAGCCGCUAUGUUUCCCACGCCCGUGGCAGGCCUGAGAGAUUAUGUUUGCGGGGGGUGCUUUUUUUGUAGCUUCUGUGUUCGCCAUAUUUGAAAGGGGCAGACGGCCAUGUUCGUGAACGGCGCUUCCCUUGGUGCACCUGUGGCCGCCAUGUUUGAGCGAGCGUCUCUGAAUUGGGAUGCAUCUGACAGCAAGUGUGGCAUCCGGGCUGCAGUUGCCGUUGUCUGCUCACAUGUGAAUUAAAAAAACAAUCUCAGCAUAUGAAAUCUCUAAUCGCGUAUGAACUUGGUGGUUAUUCCUGGUGCCGUGUGGAUAACUGCAGCCUCAACACCCCAGUCCACAAACCACGUACGGACCAACUGAGGAAGGAGUAGGGGUUCUUGUUGUUGCAGAAAACCCUCCCUCAACUUGCUCUAGAAGAUACCAGCAUUCAUACUUGGAGUGGGCAUCAGCAGCUUGGAAGACACAGCAGUGGGCCCCUCUUAGCAGGAGUGCCCCAUCUCAUGGCUCCCGACGACGACCCAGAGGGUGAUGCUGCGUAGGGGCUCACGGACAUUGGCACUCUAAGUCAGAGAUGCUCAGGUGAAGGGGGCUCUGAUGGUGAGGACAUUCAGAAAUAACAGAGAUUGGCUGGGUACGGUGGCUCACACCUGUAAUCCCAGCACUUUGGGAGGGAAGCCGAGGCAGGUGGAUCACUGGAGGUCAGCCUGGCCAACAUGGUGAAACCCCGUCUCUACUAAAAAUACAAAAAUUA